rnacentral:tRNA from 1 species
GGGCCCGUAGCUCAAUUGGAUAGAGCGUUUGACUACGGAUCAGAAGGUUGGGGGUUCGAGCCCCUCCGGGCCCA